rnacentral:lncRNA from 1 species
AACCAAUCAGAGGCUGAAGUGAAGUUACAAAGUUACACAAGAAGAAUUGGCCCUUGACCAGCCUGAUUGGUUGCAGGAGGGGACCAAUCAGAGGUACCUCCCAUUUUUCAUCUGCAGCCCAAUGCAAAGUAAUGACAUGGAUCUGGAGAGAUUCUCUUAGGAGAGAAUCUGGCUAAGUGUCUAGCAGGAUGAUUGAUUAACAAGAUGUUUUGUUUUCAUCAUCUCAGAGAGCUGUAUUGAGGUAUAAUUGAUAUGCCAAAUAACUGGACACAUUCAACUUGUGCAAUUUGAUGAGUUUGGAGAUACACAUACAUCUGUGAAACCAUCACCAAAAUCAAGAGUACAUGGUUUCCAGGCCAAAUACCACAGUGUUCCAGGCAAGGAUGUGGUCAGUUUCCUUCUCUGCUGGAUCCCAAAGCCCAGGGCAGCUCUUGCACAUACAAACACAUUCAAGCAUCUUCUAUGUGCCAAGAACUUGCUGGAAAACAUCACAAAAGUUAAUAUUUUCUGGAGAUCAAGGAAUGAAACUCAGCCCUCUGCAAAUGGAACACAAACGCCUGGUACAUGGAUGCUACAAUGAAAAGAAUAUGGGUGCUGAAAUCAGAGAGAAUCAUCCAAGAUGAUCCUUAUGCAUGCUGAACUCUGAGAGCCACCAGUGAAGAAGAUAAGUGACCCAUCUACCUGUAGCUGGAAAAUAAAGGCUCUUUGGGAUUCUUUCCCAUGAGUCUUCAUUUCACCAUAUUGGUGAGAGAAGGCAUUCAGGCCCAAUAAUUAACUGAACAUUAGCUGUGUACCAGACACUGUGGUCGACAUUGAGAUAUAACGGAUUUAAGAAAGUCUUUGUGGCUGUGGUGGCUUCAAAUCACUCCCGAGGCUUUAGAAGAAUAUAAUUGCCGUUCUAAGAAGAAUCUGAGGCCUCUAGGAGAUCUGCCAGUAGUGGCCCCAAUGUAUAACAGCACUAGCUCAGUGAAGAGAGAGAGAAAAGAUCUGAAGAGAGUGGUUGCAGUUUGAGCUCUGUCAAUGGGACAGUCCUGGGCAGGAGACUGGGGAGAAGAGGCGGCUUGCUGGUUUUCCUGAACCACUUCCACCCUGAAAGACUCCUUGCAUACAAUCAUCAGAGAAGAACCGUGGGAACCAAGAACCAUGAGCAGGAGAACCAUGAGCACACUGUUCGCAAUGGCCAAGAUUUGGAGGCAACCUAAGUGUCCAUCGACAGACAAAUGGUUAAAGAAAAUGAGGGAGGAGGAAAAAACCAUGGCUGCGGAGGUGAUUUAAUAUCCUGUUGACUCUGAAGAAAAAUACACUUCUUCAUUAUAAGAGUUUUAUUGCCAAUGACUAGAAGGAAAUGUAAAGGGGACAACACAAGAUGACUAACACAGGAAGUUAUAAAACUCACAGCUCUAACUGUCAUGGCCCUGGGCCCAUGGUGCCUGAAUCCCUCUGGGAGUAUUAAAUGGAAGGCCCCCUGGUACCUGAAUUUUGUUUUAGUUUUCUCUCUCCAUCUCUGUGAUUACACAUAAAAUCAGCCAAGCACCUGCUCCCCUCCAGCCUAGAUAACACAUACCUCCAUGCUAUAAAGGGACAAUUUGACCAAGAGACACCCACCUCACCUGACCACAGAGCUGGAAAAUCUACUAUGUCAGACUUCCAUGCAACCGCUGGUGGGAGAAAGUUUUCACGAGUCUCUCUGGGCCCUUAUCCCUCUCCCCUGUAUUCCCAUCCUUAUCCAAAUCCACAUUUCACCAAACUCCCUAACGCUAAGCAGCUGUUGAAGUUCAGAUCACAGUCUCUGAGGAGCUCCUGGUUUCCCAUGGAAUGUGAUUUGCCUCAUCAUCUUACAGCCUGCCUCCACUUUGCUUUCUUAUCAUUUCAGAGGCUUGGGAUGCCUGUGUGCACAAUAAAUCAAUGGCAUUUUAA